rnacentral:rRNA from 1 species
AGAACGAACGCUGGCGGCAUGCCUAACACAUGCAAGUCGAACGAGACCUUCGGGUCUAGUGGCGCACGGGUGCGUAACGCGUGGGAAUCUGCCCUUGGGUUCGGAAUAACAGUUAGAAAUGACUGCUAAUACCGGAUGAUGACUUCGGUCCAAAGAUUUAUCGCCCAAGGAUGAGCCCGCGUAAGAUUAGGUAGUUGGUGGGGUAAAGGCCUACCAAGCCGACGAUCUUUAGCUGGUCUGAGAGGAUGAUCAGCCACACUGGGACUGAGACACGGCCCAGACUCCUACGGGAGGCAGCAGUGGGGAAUAUUGGACAAUGGGCGAAAGCCUGAUCCAGCAAUGCCGCGUGAGUGAUGAAGGCCUUAGGGUCGUAAAGCUCUUUUACCCGGGAUGAUAAUGACAGUACCGGGAGAAUAAGCCCGGCUAACUCCGCGCCAGCAGCCGC